rnacentral:rRNA from 1 species
GCACAAGCGGUGGAGCAUGUGGUUCAAUUCGAAGCAACGCGAAGAACCUUACCAGCUUUUGACAUCCCGGUCGCGAGCACCAGAGAUGGAGCUCUUCAGUUCGGCUGGACCGGAGACAGGUGCUGCAUGGCUGUCGUCAGCUCGUGUCGUGAGAUGUUGGGUUAAGUCCCGCAACGAGCGCAACCCUCGCCCUUAGUUGCCAUCAUUUAGUUGGGCACUCUAAGGGGACUGCCGGUGAUAAGCCGGAGGAAGGUGGGGAUGACGUCAAGUCCUCAUGGCCCUUACAGGCUGGGCUACACACGUGCUACAAUGGCGGUGACAGAGGGAUGCAAAGAAGCAAUCCUUAGCAAAUCUCAAAAAGCCGUCUCAGUUCGGAUUGUGCUCUGCAACUCGAGCACAUGAAGUUGGAAUCGCUAGUAAUCGCAGAUCAGCACGCUGCGGUGAAUACGUUCCCGGGC